GACGGGGGGGCAAGUGUUCUUCGGAAUGACUGGGCGUAAAGGGCACGUAGGCGGUGAAUCGGGUUGAAAGUGAAAGUCGCCAAAAACUGGCGGAAUGCUCUCGAAACCAAUUCACUUGGGUGAGACAGAGGAGAGUGGAAUUUCGUGUGUAGGGGUGAAAUCCGCAAAUCUACGAAGGAAGGCCAAAAGCGAAGGCAGCUCUCUGGGUCCCUACCGACGCUGGGGUGCGAAAGCAUGGGGGAGCGAACAGG
rnacentral:rRNA from 1 species